rnacentral:rRNA from 1 species
UGCGUAGGCGGGCAUUUAAGUCUGGGGUGAAAUCCUACGGCUCAACCGUAGAAUGGCCUUGGAUACUGAAUGUCUUGAGUGUGAGAGAGGUCGGUGGAAUUCGUAGUGUAGCGGUGAAAUGCAUAGAUAUUACGAAGAACACCAGUGGCGUAAGCGGCCGACUGGCUCACAACUGACGCUGAGGCACGAGAGCGUGGGGAGCGAACA